rnacentral:lncRNA from 1 species
UUUUAGGGUUUAAAACCCAAUUGCUGGCUGAAUGGAAAAAGUUCAGUUUAGGGUUUAAAACCCUAAUGCUGACUAAAGGAAAAAGUUCAGUUUAGGGUUUAAAACUCUAAUGCUGACUAAAGGAAAAAUUCAGUUUAGGGUUUAAAACCCUAAUGCUGACUGAAUGGAAAAAGUUCAGUUUAGGGUUUAAAACCCUAAUGCUGACUAAAGGAAAAAGUUCAGUUUAGGGUUUAAAACCCUAAUGCUGACUAAAGGAAAAAUUCAGUUUAGGGUUUAAAACCCUAAUGCUGACUGCAUGGAAGAGCUCAGUUUAGGGUUUAAAACCCUAAUGCCGGCUGAAAGGAAAAAUUCAGUUUAGGGUUUAAAACCCUAAUGCUGACUGCAUGGAAAAGCUCAGUUUAGGGUUUAAAACCCUAAUGCUGGCUGAAAGGAAAAGUUCAGUUUAGGGUUUAAAACCCUAAUGCUGACUGCAUGGAAAAACUCAGUUUAGGGUUUAAAACCCUAAUGCUGGCUGAAUGGAAAAAGUUCAGUUUAGGGUUUAAAACCCUAAUGCUGACUAAAGGAAAAAUUCCGUUUAGGGUUUAAAACCCUAAUGUUGACUGCAUGGAAGAGCUCAGUUUAGGGUUUAAAACCCUAAUGCUGGCUGAAUGGAAAAAGUUCAGUUUAGGGUUUAAAACCCUAAUGCUGACUGCAUGGAAGAGCUCAGUUUAGGGUUUAAAACCCUAAUGCUGGCUGAAAGGAAAAGUUCAGUUUAGGGUUUAAAACCCUAAUGCUGACUACAUGGAAAAACUCAGUUUAGGGUUUAAAACCCUAAUGCUGGCUGAAUGGAAAAAGUUCAGUUUACGGUUUAAAACCCUAAUGCUGACUAAAGGAAAAAUUCCGUUUAGGGUUUAAAACCCUAAUGCUGACUGCAUGGAAGAGCUCAGUUUAGGGUUUAAAACCCUAAUGCCGGUUGAAAGGAAAAAUUUAGUUUAGGGUUUAAAACCCUAAUGCUGACUGCAUGGAAAAGCUCAGUUUAGGGUUUAAAACCCUAAUGCUGGCUGAAUGGAAAAAGUUUAGUUUAGGGUUUAAAACCCUAAUGUUGACUGCAUGGAAGAGCUCAGUUUAUGGUUUAAAACCCUAAUGCCGGCUGAAAGGAAAAAUUCAAUUUAGGGUUUAAAACCCUAAUGCUGACUGCAUGGAAAAACUCAGUUUAGGGUUUAAAACCCUAAUGCUGGCUGAAUGGAAAAAGUUCAGUUUAGGGUUUAAAACCCUAAUGCUGACUGCAUGGAAGAGCUCAGUUUAGGGUUUAAAACCCUAAUGCCGGCUGAAAGGAAAAAUUCAGUUUAGGGUUUAAAACCCUAAUGUUGACUGCAUGUAAAAGCUU